GACGAACGCUGGCGGCGUGCUUAACACAUGCAAGUCGAACGGAAAGGCCCUGCUUUUGUGGUGUGCUCUCGUGGCGAACGGGUGAGUAACACGUGAGUAACCUGCCCUCGACUUUGGGAUAACUUCUGGAAACUGGGGCUAAUACAGCACAGGAGCUCCCGCUGCAUGGUGGGGGUUGGAAAGUUUCGGCGGUUGGGGAUGGACUUGCGGCUUAUCAGCUUGUUGGUGGGGUAGUGGCUGACCAAGGCUUUGCAGGGUAGCCGGCCUGAGAGGGUGACCGGCCACAAUGGGACUGAGAGACGGCGCAGACGCCUACGGGAGGCAGCAGUGGGGAAUAUUGCACAAUGGGCGGGAGCCUGAUGCAGCAACGCCGCGAGCGGGAUGACGGGCUUCGGGUGGUAAACCGCUGUCGGCGUUGACGAAGCGGGAGUGACGGUAACGGGUAAAGAAGCACCGGCUAACUACGUG
rnacentral:rRNA from 1 species